GUGGUAUUUUCUUUUCACAUGAUGAAAAAUAUUGGCGGAAUUGAUGAUUUUUGUUUCAGUGAUUGGACUAUCAGUUACCUGUAAGAAUCAGUUAUGCUACCUUCAGCUGUCCAAUAUUUUCAAGAAAGAGGAGGGGUAUUCUUAAAAAUAUUGGACAGUUAAAGGUAGCAUAAUGGUUUCUUACAGGUAAAUGAUAGUCCAACCACUGAAAUAAAGAAAUGGCACAACAAUAG
rnacentral:lncRNA from 1 species